rnacentral:tRNA from 1 species
GGGUCGGUGCCCGAGUGGUUAAUGGGGGCGGACUGUAAAUCCGCUGGCGUAGCCUACGUUGGUUCAAAUCCAACCCGGCCCA